ACUCAGUGAAAUUGAACUCGCUGUGAAGAUGCAGUGUACCCGCGGCAAGACGGAAAGACCCCGUGAACCUUUACUAUAGCUUGACACUGAACAUUGAGCCUUGAUGUGUAGGAUAGGUGGGAGGCUUUGAAGCGUGGACGCCAGUCUGCGUGGAGCCAUCCUUGAAAUACCACCCUUUAAUGUUUGAUGUUCUAACUCGGCCCCAUAAUCUGGGGUGAGGACAGUGUCUGGUGGGUAGUUUGACUGGGGCGGUCUCCUCCCAAAGAGUAACGGAGGAGCACGAAGGUUAGCUAAUCACGGUCGGACAUCGUGAGGUUAGUGCAAAGGCAUAAGCUAGCUUGACUGCGAGAGUGACGGCUCGAGCAGGUACGAAAGUAGGUCUUAGUGAUCCGGUGGUUCUGAAUGGAAGGGCCAUCGCUCAACGGAUAAAAGGUACUCCGGGGAUAACAGGCUGAUACCGCCCAAGAGUUCAUAUCGACGGCGGUGUUUGGCACCUCGAUGUCGGCUCAUCACAUCCUGGGGCUGAAGUAGGUCCCAAGGGUAUGGCUGUUCGCCAUUUAAAGAGGUACGUGAGCUGGGUUUAAAACGUCGUGAGACAGUUUGGUCCCUAUCUGCCGUGGGCGUUGGAUACUUG
rfam:Knoellia aerolata DSM 18566 contig198, whole genome shotgun sequence.